rnacentral:rRNA from 1 species
CUCAAAGUUGGAACCUGUUUGGCCUAGCUAAACAGGAUUGUAAACUGUAGAAGUGUUUUCCAGGCAAUCCGAGUUAAUAAGUCCUUUGGAACAGGGCAUCAUAGAGGGUGAGAAUCCCGUCUUUGAUUCGAGAUAUUUUGUCUUUUGCGAUACACUUUCAAAGAGUCAGGUUGUUUGGGAAUGCAGCCUAAAUUGGGUGGUAAAUCUCACCUAAAGCUAAAUAUUGGCGAGAAACCGAUAGCGAACAAGUACCGUGAGGGAAAGAUGAAAAGAACUUUGAAAAGAGAGUUAAACAGUAUGUGAAAUUGUUAAAAGGGAACCGUUUGGAGCCAGACUGGCUUGUCUGUAAUCAAUCUAGGUUUCGUGCCUGGAUGCACUUGCAGACUAUUUGCCUGCCAACGACAAUUUUUUUUGAGUGUAAAAACUAUUGGAAAUGUGGCCAAUAUUUAUUUAUUGGUGUUAUAGUCCUUUAGAAAAUACCUUGAAUUGGAUUGAGGAACGCAGCGAAUGCUUCUCUUUUGAGGCGGAGUCUUUUAUUGGGAUUUACGGAUCAGACUGUGGCAUUGUCACAAGACUUGAAGUUUAAACCUAUUUU